UGAUGCGCUUGAGCGCAAGUUCGGCGAGCAAAGACCGCAGGAAGAGUCAAGCCAUGCGCUUAAAAGAAUCAAGAGGGCGCAUAACGUGGGUAUUGCGGUAAGUUGACAAUAUAGUAGAAAAGUAUACGUCGCCAAGUUAGCCUAAGUUAGCGCUUGGCUACACAUCUACUUUUGUUCCUUGCGUCUAGCUUAUUUAACAGUUUGUCACGUCCGAAUUAUACGAUGUUGUUUGAAAAUGCUUUGUUUCCCAUGCAUGUAUGCGUGUAUCUACUAAAGCGUUUUUAAUUCAAUGUUACAGGAAGCUGUAAGGUACCUCCAUAAUUCGGAAAGCAGCCCGCAUAAAUAUGAUCCACAAACUGGAAUAAAUUCACCUCAUAACCAGGCAGUAAUGACAUAUCUGCUGGAGGAAUUGAAGACGACUUUUGCAGAUGCAGACCCUGACUGUAUAAAGGGACUUACUAUGAGACAUUGCGGAGGAAAUACUGUUUGUCUCAGCCAGGAAAGUCCCAGCUAAGAGACUCUGUUAAGGGGCUAAAAACCGACAAAGGAAA